GUUUAGGAGCGACUUGAGAAAUGUCGCUAGCGUAGGUCAUUAGGAGCGACUGGGUCGCUACUGUAAUUAAAAAAAAUCACUUAAAUUAUCAUAAAUAAAAAGAAGCAUACAAAGCAGACGUCUUCUGCAACUUCUUCGUCUCACUCUCUCUCAAGUCACAACAAAUUAAAAGGGGUUUUCUCCCGAAUCUUAUUAAAAACUAUUCAUCCAAUUCCCUCAAAUCUCUUAAAUCUAUCCUCAAAUUGCAAAUGUAAAUCGAGACCCAAAGCCCUAAUCAGAAAUUGUAUUCUCAAAUUAGGUAUGUGUUUGAAUCCAAAGACCUUCUCAGUGUCGACUGCUCUUUCAAUGGAGUUGAAGAUGGAAGAAGAAAUGGUGCAAGCGAUUUGGCUUCAAAAAUUUAAACAGAACGAUUUGCCUUCUGAGCAUCGCGAAGCGGCCUUGUGUUGUUUCCAUUCCUUUCCUCUAAGAUUCGAACAGGGUCAAAUGAAUGGAUGGAUAAUGGCAAUGAGAACAAUAUGCAGGUGGAGGAGGACAUGAAAGAGAUUGAACCUUAUGCGGUGCCCACUGUUGAAGAUUCUAUAUGAACUAUGACAUGUUUCGAGACAAUGACGCUGGCCGAUACAGGUAGUAACCAAUCUGUCCAAUGUGUGCAAAAGAUAAUAAUGUGCCUUCGUAUGGAAUAGUACAACAGGAGCCGCCCUUGGGGAGCACCCAAUAUUAUUCUCUUAUGAGAGUUUGCUAUUGCAUAGUGUGGCCAUAUUGUUCAAGAUGACAUGGUACUAGCCAAGGAGAAGCUUGAAGACAUUUUAUUUUUGCUGCUUCUUUGUUUUUGUUUUUUUUUUCCGGGGCAUUUCAUGUGUAUGGACAAUUCCUAUAUGUUCUGAAUUUUAAUAAAAAGUUUAUUGAUCUUUUUGUUUGAUAAGA